CGCGGGAUGCGCCAAGGAAUCUCCGAACGAAUCUAACUCCCUGCCGUCGUGCUCGCACGGCGGCAUCGGGUGCGAUCGAUAUAAGUCAUAACGACUCUCGGCAACGGAUAUCUCGGCUCUCGCAUCGAUGAAGAACGUAGCGAAAUGCGAUACGUGGUGUGAAUUGCAGGAUCCCGUGAACCAUCGAGUUUUUGAACGCAAGUUGCGCCCGAAGCCAUCAGGCCGAGGGCACGUCUGCCUGGGCGUCAC
rnacentral:rRNA from 1 species